rnacentral:rRNA from 1 species
AGAGCGAACGCUGGCGGCAGGCUUAACACAUGCAAGUCGAGCGGGCGUAGCAAUACGUCAGCGGCAGACGGGUGAGUAACGCGUGGGAACGUACCUUUUGGCUCGGAACAACACAGGGAAACUUGUGCUAAUACCGGAUAAGCCCUUACGGGGAAAGAUUUAUCGCCAAAAGAUCGGCCCGCGUCUGAUUAGCUAGUUGGUGAGGUAACGGCUCACCAAGGCGACGAUCAGUAGCUGGUCUGAGAGGAUGAUCAGCCACAUUGGGACUGAGACACGGCCCAAACUUCUACGGGAGGCAGCAGUGGGGAAUAUUGGACAAUGGGCGCAAGCCUGAUCCAGCCAUGCCGCGUGAGUGAUGGAAGGCCCUAGGGUUGUAAAGCUCUUUUGUGCGGGAAGAUAAUGGACGGUACCGCAAGAAUAACGCCCCGGACUAACUUCGCGCCAGCCAGCCGC